UAAGUAGAUAGUGAAAGCGUGUGGCUCAACCGAAUAAACAUUAUCUAAACUGCUAAGCUAGAGGACGAGAGAGGUUAUUGGAAUUUCUAGUGUAGGAGUGAAAUCCGUAGAUAUUAGAAGGAACACCGAUGGCGUAGGCAGAUAACUGGCUCGUUUCUGACACUAAGGCACGAAAGCGUGGGUAGCAAACGGGAUUAGAUACCCCGGUAGUCCACGCCGUAAACUAUGGAUGCUA
rnacentral:rRNA from 1 species